GAAUGUGCCGGGCUCGGGGCUUGUCUGAUUUGCACGGUGGCUCCAUUACACGCUCGCAUUCACGGUCACUUCCGAGGCGCUCCAAUAACUCCCCUCCCUUUACUAGAAGCCUCAGCAAUCCCCCAAGGCGGUUUGCACCCGGGCUUUGCAGACCUGCUCAGUCAGGCAGGGCGUUCGUCUCACCCGGGAUCUUU
rfam:Macropus eugenii Contig902625, whole genome shotgun sequence.